rnacentral:tRNA from 1 species
GCUGGGGUGGCCGAGUGGUCUAAGGCGCCAGCCUGGAAAGCUGGUCUCCGCAAGGAGGCGCGAGUGAAGCUUUAUUCUUCCCGAGGAAGAAUAAUGCCUCAACGUCAAAAGAAGCAGAUUCCUGCAAAGCAGGAAUAUUACUGCUAAAUUGGCUAUGAGGUUUUCCGCGAUUUCAAAUCUUGCCCCCAGCG